rnacentral:lncRNA from 1 species
AGGGAUGACGUGGAAUCACAGUUUCAUACAAUCCCUUCUCAUAAUGAGAAAAAAUUGUAUGAAUUUGUGAUUCCAUUCCACGUUGUAAGGGCCCAGUUUUAUUUGGCCCUAAUAAGACAAAAACCAAAAAAUAAAUAAAAACAAAUAAAAAGUCUAUUAAUAAUAACAGUCCAUUUUACAAAUACAAGCUCAAAUACUACCCAAGACUCAUUCAACCCAAAAAAAAACAAAACCCUAAUACCCAAUAAACCCAAGCCCAAAUACCUAGCCCAAGCCCACUAUUCUAAAACUAUUAGAAACUCUAAUCCCUAAAACUUCACAUGCCGGCGCUGCUCCUCAGCACUCGCCACGUCAGCAACGUACCAUCCGAGGCUUCUGCUGUCACCUAUCUACCACCGUUUCACCAAAGUAGCAAAGGGGCAUGUCCCCCACCAUGGUUGACCGAAAAGUCCCUCAC